AAAUGCAUAUUUAAUUUAUGAAAAAAUAUCGUUAAUAUUACUUGCACCUGUAAGUAUUUGUUUAUUCUUAUUUUGUUUUAAAUGAAAAUAGUAUGCUAUUGAUAGCUGCAAAUUGACUGAGAACUCUGAAAUGCAACAACACGCCUCUUUGUAUGGAUUUGUACUUAUGCAAAUAUGUAUAUGCUCGGAAAAUUAUACUAGCUGCUAUUGAAUUAAUUAACUUAACGGUAACACCAGCUUACAAAGGUUUUGACCUGAAAAUGAAACGUAGACGAGUUUACAACAGCGCUCCAUUCGAGCCAGGACCUUCAACACCGGUACUGCCUCGAAUAAUCUCUGAGCUGGAACGUUUUCAUCCACUCGGACGUCAUAACCUAGCCAUCGAAGCCUUGUCUCUGCCUCGAAUAAUCUCAGAGCUGCAAUGUUUUCAUCCAUUCGGACGUCAUGACCUAGCCAUCAAAGCCUUGUUUCUUAAUUCACUGAACUAUAUAAAUGUCAUCCUAUAUCUCGUACAGCUCUUCGUUCCAUCGAAUGCGAUAUUCGCCGUUGCCAAUGCGCAAAGGACCAUAAAUCUUCGGCAAAAACUUUCUCUCGAACACUCCUAAGGCCGCAUCAUAUAACGGGCCGGGAAUAAUGAGUGACUUAAAGAGUUUUGUGUUUGUUCGUCGAGAGAGGAUUUUUCUUCUCGAUUGCCUAUUCAGUCCGAAGUAGCACCUGUUGGCAAGAGUUAUACUGUGUUGGAUUUCGAGGCUGACUGUUGUUAGUGAUAAUACUCAGUUUUAGUUAUUAUUAUUAUUAUAGAAUGGAAAACAAAGUAAAAAUAAAAUAAAACGCUACUAAAUCCAUGACUUUCAUCUUAAUUUGUAAACUAGUGUAAACAAUCAUCAAAAGCUUAUUGGAUAUGCACAAAUGAAUUUAUAUAUAUUUUUUGUAAUGUUGAUUGAAUGGAUCACUAAUUCAAGAGCAAUUAUACAAAUGCUUAUUAUUAAUAUUCAUAAAUUUUAUUAACUAACUUAGUCAUAGAGAAAUAUUAGUUUCUUAAUGAUACUAUGUGACGUCUGUAUAAAUGAUGAAUAUGAACUUAAGGGUUUCUUAUGGAAAAAUUAUAUACAUUGGGACAAAAGAACACCAGGAAAUUUCAUAUUUCAAUAAAAAUGUAUAUUCUUAAGUUGGUAGGACUGUCCCUAAUUACUAUGCCAAAUAUGAGCGUGAUUCGUCAAACUGUUUGUUUACACCAGCGUCUACAGUCGGAACCCUCA